rnacentral:lncRNA from 7 species
AAAAGGACUGGUGACAGGAUGAAACCCUAUGGAAUUGCAUAUAUGUACUUGUGCAUAUGUCAGGACUGAUGUGAUCUCUGCUGUACCAUUCUUCACAGUAGCUGAGAUGGAGAGUGGAAGAUAUUCCUUCAUGUGCUUCAAAGUACUGUAGCAGUAUUAAUUGAUAGACUGAGAGCCUGAUCUAUCUGCGGGAUCACACGAGGCCUACACUAAAAUACUUCUACUGUAUGGAAAAAUAUUUAUCUGAGGAUUUCUGGCCUGACUUUUGGAUGAAGAAAGUGUGUUGAGGACCACUUAGUUUUUGAUUUAGUGUGUGAUCCUAGGACUUCCCAUAAACAUGCAAGCCACUCUUCCUUUGGUCUAAAAACUUUGAAUCCUCUAUGAGUCACUCUUACUUCCAAUACGUUUCCAGGCCAUCUGACCCCUCCAGGAUUCUGCAGGACUUGUGUCAUUGCAUUAUACACUGCUGAGAUGAGCAUAACAGACUAUUGCAUGCAGAGCCAAUGCUGUAUUUGGGUCACAACUGGAUGGUAAAAUUUCUAAAUGCAUUCUUUAACCAUCUAAGAAUAGACUGAGUAAUGGGAAUAUUACUCAGUAAAGUCUUAGCUUGAAUCUGAUGAAUUUAAUCUUCAGAACUGUCAAAAAUCUCCACCGAACCAAGAAAAUGCCAGGAUUUCUUUGCACUGUUUGUAACUUCUGGAGUUAUCUCACCAGACAGGGAUUUCUGCCUCCUGAGAUUUCAGUCACGACAACACCUUAAGGAAGUGAAAGGAAAUUUGUCCUUAGCUGUCCAAUUAAUCCUCACUACUUUCUCUGUGUUGCUUAAGUUUUGAGUAAAUGUGAAUGGUGUAAGUAAACAGUACAUCUGAUAAAUGUAAAUUUUAUUUUUUCUGUUUGCUGGUAGUUCUAUGCCUGUGUGAUCCAUGGAUAAAAACUCUUGAAAAAUAGUCAUAAAAUAAACGAUAGCACUGUAAUAAUAAAAAUUAUAAGCAUAGCCAACUAGUGAAUUAAGUAUCUGUGAUUUAUAAAAAUCACAGGGACACUGUUAAUUUCUUUUUCAACAAAACAUUCUGCUCCUCUUUCAUACAGGUCAGGGAAGACCACAGAUACUUAUGUUUAGCUUGUUUAUUCACUUACUGUCUUAAGGAUGCCCCAUGAGUUUUGAAUCAUUUGCUAAUUUCAACACAGAAACUACCUAAUAUCCAGGCUAUAAGUAAUCUCCCUGAAGCUACAGCUGUACUGUUCUUAACUACCCAGCUUGCUUUUGUUAAAGUCACCGUGUAAACACUUGUGCAAGUUUUAGUCAAAGUCCUGCACUGUAGAUGUACCUAAUAGUAUUUGAAGAGCAGUGUCUCAGAAAAUACAUACGUUCAUCUUCGAUUGGCAACAGAGUAUGCUGAUGUGAAAGGCAGAGCUGGGGCAGAAGGUAAAACACAAGGCAGAAUAACGUCUGUAUCAACAGACUUGGAAACAUAAAAAGUAUUAGACUUGUAUGAUGUUUACUAAGUAUUUUGAAAGCAUUUUGAAAGUUGUCUCCUACUAAAAUUCAAGUCAGCAGGAUAGAGAGAAAUUUAAAGUCUUCCCAGUUUUUGAGCAAAAAGAAUUGCUGAUAGCAAUUACUCCUUGCCAGAUGUGUGUUCCAGCAGUUUUGGGAUCCAGUGAGGCUGGAAACAGUUCAAGAAAGAGAACAGGCUGCUGAGUAAAGAAACACAUACUGGUGAGAAAGUCUUGUAACCAAAUUCUCCAGAGCACUCUGGAAAUAACACCUCACAGUAGAAUAAACUCAGUUUAUGAGUGAAAGGUCAUAACAAUGCUGCUGAUGCUAUAGGAAGCCUGAGUCCCAAGUGCCAUCAACAAAGAAUGUUAGGAUGAGAGUCCUACAUCUAAGGGAACUUAAGUGCUCUCUUGUAUGCGUCAGUGGAAAACCUGAGAUUUAGCCUCACUUGUGAAACUGUCAUCCUGAUUAAGCUCUUCUGGAGGAAUACUGGAUAUAUGAGCUGCAGUCUAUGGACAUAGCUACAACUGAAGCUACGAUGUAUUUGAGUCUGAUCCUGUUACUCAGUAUGAGAGAAAUGGAGAAAUAGAUGGUAUCUUCAUCUGGUUCAGUCUUCAGCUGAACUGCCAUGUGAUCCCACUGGCAGCACUGAGGAAGGGAAGCAGUCCUUGUAGAAAGAAGUCUAAAUCUUCUGCUGCUCAGCCUGCAUACUAUCCUUUGAGAUGUUAAAUCCCUCCUUCAAUCUAUGUGAUCAGAUUUCAAAGAGUAACAAAGCACUGGAGGGAUUUCAUACAGAGCUGUAAUUCGUAGUUUAAAUGAAAAUGAUAAAGGAAAGAUGUAUGUUCUGCAUUCUCAGUUCAACGUUGUAACCCACCCUAUUCUACAGCAUGCCACUGCAUCUGAGUAAGCAUCAGUAUGAGCAAUGACUUGCCCAAAGCCAUAUUAAUAGAGAAGAAUAGGACAUCCAUAGGAAUGGUUUUUUAUUAAUGACUUCUCCUGUGCUUGUUAUUAGUCACCAGCUGACACCUCUUCCAGUCAGUCUUUAUUCCUAGAAUUGCAUCAUGCAACAAAUACAUCUUGACAUUCUUUGCUGUUGAUGCAAGAACUGAACAAGUCUGAAUUGUUAUUCAAGUUCCUGUUUUAACUUACUGUCAUCAUCCCGUGGUAAAUCCUUUCUGUUUAAUUGUAUCAAAACUAUAUUUUGUAUGUUUAUUCCUUUUGGUGAUAACUUGGUUGUCAUAACCAUGGUU